UACGGGGGGGGCAAGCGUUAUUCGGAUUUAUUGGGCGUAAAGGGCGCGUAGGCGGUCACGCACGUCCGUUGUGAAAUCGCUCGGCUCAACUGGGCGGGGUCAGCGGAUACGGCGUGGCUGGAGCACGCUAGGGGGCAAUGGAAUUCCCGGUGUAGUGGUGGAAUGCGUAGAUAUCGGGAGGAACACCUGUGGCGAAAGCGGCUCACUGGACCACAACUGACGCUGAGGCGCGAAAGCUAGGGGAGCAAACAGG
rnacentral:rRNA from 1 species